UACUGUAGCAUCGGGUUACUGUACACCAAUCCAGACGAUUCUCAGGUGGUUCGACGCCGGUGAACAGCUAUGGCCUCUGAUA
rnacentral:misc_RNA from 1 species